rnacentral:rRNA from 1 species
UACGAAGGGGGCUAGCGUUGCUCGGAAUUACUGGGCGUAAAGCGCGCGUAGGCGGCUUUGCAAGUCGGGUGUGAAAUCCCCAGGCUUAACCUGGGAACUGCAUUCGAGACUGCAUUGCUAGAGUAUGGGAGAGGGAAGUGGAAUUUCCGGUGUAGCGGUGAAAUGCGUAGAUAUCGGGAGGAACACCUGUGGCGAAGGCGGCCCCCUGGUUGGAUACUGACGCUGAUACGCGAAAGCGUGGGGAGCAAACAGG